AGGCGACGGCGCCACAUCUGGCUCGCCAUGCUCGUUGACCCUGGACAAACUGCGUUACAAUAGGGAGCCCUGGAAAUGUUCAAAUGCGUUGCUUCUGCGCCCAUUUUGCGUCGGUUCUGAAGAAGAAAAAAAGAAGAAGGAAAAAUCAAUAGUCGUAGUCUUUUCUAUGAAGGCGACACUAUACCCUCUGGAUGCGGCAUCGCGUCGUUGUUCCCACCCAGUGGGUGCAUCACCAAGCGUCUAGGUUGCUGACAGUGGAAUUACUGAAGCAGCACUUGCAACUCAUUCGUUGCAUAUCAAGGAGGCACGGUAAAUAAAUCUGCCUUUCAAGAGAGUCGCUGUUGGCUCGACGUAUAUACAGAUGUCUGGCCCAGGGAUAGCAGCGAGUCUUUCUUGCCGUUCUCGUUGCUGCUGCCGCCGCUGUUCGUAUUUCAUCAUCGCCGCCGCACUAGUAUAAAAAAUGAAGAAAGAAAAAGAGAGAAAAGAAAACGCUCCCGCUGUUGUCGCUCAGGUGCAGCUGCCACAAAAUGCAGGAAAGAAACCAAAAUUGAAAUAAUGAAGCAGGGGGAGGGAGGGAGGGCGCUUAAAGCGAGACAGCCUCCUCGGUCGCAUUGACGCCGGCCAAGUCAAACGCGCGCGCGCAGGUGCGGGCUCCGCCGGCGCCGCGGGCGCGCACGCGUGCUCGCGGCGCCGCUCGCGGUGCGCAAGUGUUCGACGAAACGAGCGGACGUUCGCGCCGCCGCGGCUGCAAGUAGGCCGUUCCCGUACGCGCGCCUGACGUGUGUUGAAACUAUGUAAACGUUUAUUCUCGGCUCUAGCUUCGUAAAGGGGACAAGAAUGCGCGCAAAUAGGAAAACACAUUCAGCAGGAGGGCUGUCGAUGCAACGGCUGUCGGUAUACACAGCGACGUGCUCAACGAGGUCAAGAACACCGAUAGCGACGGCGUGGAACCAAAAAACUCCUCGCUGAAGAAGAGCGGGAGAAAAAAAUAAAAGAAAAGAACCUGAAAGAGGAGGAGCGACGUGCCACGUCCCCGGGGCGGCGCAUUAUUAAGGCAUUCUUCUCGCGCGGCUCCUCACGAGCGCCGCGACGGUGGGCUUCCUGGUCUUGUCAACAUGCCGCGGGCGACGCAGCGAGUAUUGUGCAGAGCAACGCUGUCGGACCGCACGGCCUUCGUCUCGUCCACGUGUGAUGCAACGAGACACAUCGGAGCCACGUGCAGCUAUGCCCCCAGCGUAUAUAGUGCAGACGGUCUUUGCAAACGAGUUUUAAAAUUCAGUGUUGCAACAACAGAAGGAACCACCGAGGCCAUUUGAACUGCUUGUCUGGUAUGAACGCACGCGUGUGUUUUCAUGUGGUAGUGGCGUGAGCAGCAUGCCUGUGGCUCUGGUUCCUUCCAAUGGAGGCUCUAUACGGUUGACCAACCCCCAGGGUAUCCAGAAAUCUCUCUGUGCUGCUACCUCUGCAUACCAGACCAUCACAGAAGUGAGACAGUUCGACCGCAGAGGUUUCGUGUGCAGAUCACCAGGCCAGACCUGUGUUGCGGUUUUGCUUAAGUGUUCAUCAUUCGCGUCACUGCCGGACACAAGCGCACUGGACAGGUUUCUUAGUUCUUGUGGACGGGACAUCAUACCAUCAGUGGGUACGCGCCACCGAAGACGGAUAUUCAAUCCAAUCCAAUAGCCGAACGGGCAGGCGAGGGGCUCGUGCUUUGGAAGACGCAGGACCAGUGCGCUGUUCCGGGAGCUCCUGCUGCGGCGCCUGAGGCGGCCCUGAGGACGCGCCUGCCUGUUGGUGCAGAUGCGGAGUGGCGCCUGGUGUGACGCCAUUUGGAGCAGGCCUGGCUGUUGCCUGUUCGUAGCUGCCUGUCGGAGCAGAGUAACUCUGUGUCCGGGACGAGGCCUAAUUGAGGCCUAACCGAAAGCCUUGGCUUUGAGGCCGCCUCUUGCUCGAGGUGGCACGUGGAGUUGUGGCGGUGGAAGCCACCCGUUUGACACCCGUUCGAGUGCGCUGGUCACGGUAAUGCAGCCGGGGUCCGUCGCCUGCCUCAUCUGAUGACCAGUGCAGUCAUCGUGUCUUGGCUCGCCUCCCGCGAUGGUCAUCAUGCCUUGGCUCGCCUACGACUAGAAUCGUCGCGACAGUUCUACCGCCCAUCGUCGCCACCAUCAGAAUUGACUAUGUGAGACGUUUUCACUCCUUUCUUGAACGCUGCGCGUCGGACUUAAUGUAGACAUGUGUUUGUUCUAGUGACUUUCCUUUUGUACUCUGUGUUCACUGCUUGUUCUGUUUCCCUUCUACCAUCUUCGAUAAAUGUUGGUUUACGUCUGUC